rnacentral:rRNA from 1 species
GGAGAAAAGCAGGGGAUCGCAAGACCUUGCGCUAAAGGAGCGGCCGAUGUCUGAUUAGCUAGCUGGUGGGGUAAAGGCUUACCAAGGCAACGAUCAGUAGUUGGUCUGAGAGGACGACCAACCACACUGGGACUGAGACACGGCCCAGACUCCUACGGGAGGCAGCAGUGGGGAAUUUUGGACAAUGGGCGAAAGCCUGAUCCAGCCAUGCCGCGUGAGUGAAGAAGGCCUUCGGGUUGUAAAGCUCUUUUAGUCGGAAAGAAAGAGUUGCAAUGAAUAAUUGUGAUUUAUGACGGUACCGACAGAAAAAGCACCGGCUAACUACGUGCCAGCAGCCGCGGUAAUACGUAGGGUGCGAGCGUUAAUCGGAAUUACUGGGCGUAAAGGGUGCGCAGGCGGUCUUGCAAGUCAGAUGUGAAAGCCCCGGGCUUAACCUGGGAAUUGCGUUUGAAACUACAAAGCUAG